CGGCGGACGGGUGGGUAACGCGUGGGUAACCUACCCUGUACACACGGAUAACAUACCGAAAGGUAUGCUAAUACGGGAUAAUAUAUUUGAGAGGCAUCUCUUGAAUAUCAAAGGUGAGCCAGUACAGGAUGGACCCGCGUCUGAUUAGCUAGUUGGUAAGGUAACGGCUUACCAAGGCGACGAUCAGUAGCCGACCUGAGAGGGUGAUCGGCCACAUUGGAACUGAGACACGGUCCAA
rnacentral:rRNA from 1 species